rnacentral:rRNA from 1 species
GCCUACGGGAGGCAGCAGUGGGGAAUAUUGCACAAUGGGGGAAACCCUGAUGCAGCGACGCCGCGUGAGCGAUGAAGUAUUUCGGUAUGUAAAGCUCUAUCAGCAGGGAAGAAAAUGACGGGACCUGACUAAGAAGCCCCGGCUAACUACGUGCCAGCAGCCGCGGGAAUACGUAGGGGGCAAGCGUUAUCCGGAUUUACUGGGUGUAAAGGGAGCGUAGACGGCGAUGCAAGCCAGAUGUGAAAACCCGGGG